AAGUCGUAACAAGGUAUCCGUAGGUGAACCUGCGGAUGGAUCAUUACUGAAGGUUAAACCCCGACGUACUGUGAACUGUUUUGAAUUUCAGUCAGUGGUUCUUGAGUUGUCUGUAACGGUGGUCUUUCAGACUGCCGCCAGGCAACACUACCGCUGACUGUACAUACUAUACGUAAUGCCAUUUCCCUAAACUGAAGUCUUUUUAGUAUAAACUAAAGAUAACUUUUAGCAACGGAUCUCUUGGCUCUG
rnacentral:misc_RNA from 1 species